GACGAACGCUGGCGGCGUGCUUAACACAUGCAAGUCGAACGGAAAGGCCCUGCUUUUGUGGGGUGCUCGAGUGGCGAACGGGGGAGUAACACGUGAGUAACCUGCCCUUGACUUUGGGAUAACUUCAGGAAACUGGGGCUAAUACCGGAUAGGAGCUCCCGCUGCAUGGUGGGGGGUGGAAAGUUUCGGCGGUUGGGGAUGGACUCGCGGCUUAUCAGCUUGUUGGUGGGGUAGUGGCUUACCAAGGCUUUGACGGGUAGCCGGCCUGAGAGGGUGACCGGCCACAUUGGGACUGAGAUACGGCCCAGACUCCUACGGGAGGCAGCAGUGGGGAAUAUUGCACAAUGGGCGGAAGCCUGAUGCAGCAACGCCGCGUGCGGGAUGACGGCCUUCGGGUUGUAAACCGCUUUCGCCUGUGACGAAGCGUGAGUGACGGUAAUGGGUAAAGAAGCACCGGCUAACUACGUG
rnacentral:rRNA from 1 species